rfam:Ovis aries breed Texel chromosome 15, whole genome shotgun sequence.
UCCCUGGUGGUCAGUGGUUAAGACUCUUGCUUCCAAUGCAAGGGCACAGGUUCAAUCCCUGGUCAGGGAA